GACGAACGCUGGCGGCGUGCCUAAUACAUGCAAGUCGAGCGCAGGAAACUGACGGAACUCUUCGGAGGGAAGGCAGUGGAAUGAGCGGCGGACGGGUGAGUAACACGUAAGGAACCUGCCUCAAGGAUUGGGAUAACUCCGAGAAAUCGGAGCUAAUACCGGAUAGUUCAACGGACCGCAUGGUCCGCUGAUGAAAGGCGCUUCGGCGUCACCUUGAGAUGGCCUUGCGGUGCAUUAGCUAGUUGGUGGGGUAACGGCCCACCAAGGCGACGAUGCAGAGCCGCCCUGAGAGGGUGAUCGGCCACACUGGGACUGAGACACGGCCCAGACUCCUACGGGAGGCAGCAGUAGGGAAUCUUCCACAAUGGACGAAAGGCUGAUGGAGCAACGCUGCGUGAGUGAUGAAGGUUUUCGGAUCGUAAAACUCUGUUGUAAGGGAAGAACACGUACGAGAGGAAAUGCUCGUACCUUGACGGUACCUUACGAGAAAGCCACGGCUAACUACGUGCCAGCCGCCGCCGUAAUAC
rnacentral:rRNA from 1 species